UUGUACUACUACUGCCCACAUGCCACAGUACCCCAUUAUCUCCUUCCCUUUCUUUCUUCCCCCCUUACAUUAUAUUUUCUCUAUCUGUCAAAAGUUUCGUUUCUUUAAUGGGGUUUUGUGUAUGUUCUGUCCACUGCAUGUACCUAGAAAAAAACACAUCAUACUGAGAGAAAAAAAAAAGUAAAAGAUCUUUUUCCUUUCUACUACUACUAGUACUAGAGUUUAGGGUGUGAUGUAUUCCAACACAACUCAGAUAUACUCAUAAAACCCUAAUUGUAUCUCCUGCUAACAUAACGGGUAGCGGGUAGCAGGUAGCAGAUUCAGAAUUUAGACGCUGUGAGUUUUAAGUCAGUAGAUGUAUGUUCUAGGUUUUUUCCAUAAAAGGGGUUUGUGUUUUGGUUUUAGAUCUGACUUCAGCAACACAAUUCAGAUGUAUGGUAAUGUUUGUGGUUGGGAGAGAAGCAAAUAAGAGAAGGGGGGACAAGGAGAAUCAAGACUGACAGAAGAGAGUGAGCACACGCAGGCAAUUGUAUAAAGAUGUAUACACACUGUCAUUUGCGUGUGCUCACUUCUCUUGCUGUCACCUCUCUCUAUAUACUUUCCCCCAUUUUUUUUGUUUUGCUUUGCUUCCACCACUCAAACCACUUACACUUGUUCAAGAUAGCAGCAUAUAUGAUCUGUCUUAAACUAAGGUCUGUAUACACUAUUCUUUUUAUGCCGAAUUUUAUUGUUAUUGUCAGUAUUUUUCGUUCUGAUCUUCUCGUGUUAGCUAUCUAACAUCUGACUCAACAAAAAAAAACAGUAGCUAUAGAUGGACACGACAUUCAACACUAGCACUGCCAUAUAUGCUAUGUUGUUAACUUGUUAACCAAUAAAAAAACUGCACCACAAUAAAAAUUGACAGUCAAGAUUGUUGACGUGUUUUUCUCUUGUUCUCUCUUUCAUUCUUUCCUUUAUAUUAUUUAUGUACCAGUUUGUAUUUAUCAAUUCAUGUUCUCUUGGUGGGUUUUGGAGAUUAGACAGAAAGAAGCUGAAGUUGAAAAAAUCAGAACAUUUAUCAGAUCAGGUAAGAGUCUGAGACUUUUGAGGUUUUGGGGUUUUAUUAUGUAGGUAAAUCUCUGUUCCUUUUUAAAAAAAAUCCCAUUUUAAUAUUGUACUUAGCGUGUCUUUUCAUGUAGUUAUUACUAUCUCUGAAGAAGAGGACGGAUUUAGAUUUGGGAGGUACGCCUGUUACUGUUUUGUCUUAACGGAUAACUAAUUAGUUAUCCUUCUAGAGUACAAUUCCGGUACAUCUAUAUUUGCAAAAAAUAUAUAAAAUCACUGUUCUGAAUCUAACAGAAAAUUCUCUUCUUUCUUCCUUUUCUCAUGUAAAAGUUCAUUGAUCUAUUUCUUGAUUUAACUCUUUGUUUUCAGGCUUUAUUUUUUUGUAUCUCGAGUGUAAUCUGAGACUUAAAUGAGCAUAAAACUCGGGUAAAAGGAGGACCCUUUUGGAAGUAUACUUUAUUUGUAAAGAUAUUCUUGUUUCUUGUAUGUGUAAUUUGAGUUUGGAAGUUGAUGAUUCUUUAAUUCAUUCUUUAAGUAUGGGGUAAUUUGGCUAAAUUUAUGUGGGUUCUUGUAAUAUUUUAUGUAGGUUUUUUGAAACUCUAAUUAUCUGUCUUUAGAUUUAGGAAAUGAUAUGCCUUAGUUUAUUGUUUGAGGAUUAGGAAGAAAAUUACAGUAAAGCGUAGAACUUUAAUUUGAAUUCGACUUCUAUAUUUGAUAUGAUUUUGCUUCCAGCAUUUUCGAUGAAGGUUAGAGAAAUAUAAAUAAUUAAUGAGCUUUAAUUUUCACAAGUUUGAAUUUGAUUUACUAUUUUAAAGAAUUCAUUUGUUCUUUGUUAAGUGCAGUCCUUCGUUGUAAUUACACUUAAAUAUUCUAACCCUUUUUGACAGCCACUAUUGCCUGCCGGGGGCGACAUCAAACAGCUUUACUAUUUCUUCUUUUGAUUUGCAGAAUAUAAAGAUGAACUAUAGGCAUGCCAAGCAUUUCAUAUUAAUGAUAAGAUGAAAGGCAGCCAGGGAAAAAUGCGCGAGGUUAUGCUGGCUUUAUGGAGGAAUUUUUUGAUACGGAUACUUCUGGCUACCUAUCUCCUUGGCUGAGCUUGGAUUGUUCUUGAAUCUCAGAUUUGUUGUAAGUUGAGGCGUUAGAGUCUUCGGUGUUUGCUCUUCAAUGGUCGUUACUUUUCAAUGCAGCAGAUUCAAGUUGCUACUUUUCUUUUCAGGGGUCGUUUUGUGCGAAGACAAGUUAUGCUGGGAUUAGUUAUACCAGGAUAAGUUAUCCUGCUAUUAUUUUUUAUUGACUAUUUGGUAUGUUGUAUUAGUCGUGCGAUUAUUAAUUUUACUGCUUUAUCCAGGGAUAACUUAUCUUGGGAUUUUUAUUCCACCAUCUGGCAAGUAUAGUUAUUCUGAUACUAUUUUUUA